AUUGAACGCUGGCGGCAGGCUUAACACAUGCAAGUCGAGCGGGGGAAGGUAGCUUGCUACCGGACCUAGCGGCGGACGGGUGAGCAAUGCUUAGGAAUCUGCCUAUUAGUGGGGGACAACAUCUCGAAAGGGAUGCUAAUACCGCAUACGUCCUACGGGAGAAAGCAGGGGAUCUUCGGACCUUGAGCUAAUAGAUGAGCCUAAGUCGGAUUAGCUGGUUAGUGGGGUAAAGGCCUACCAAGGCGACGAUCUGUAGCGGGUCUGAGAGGAUGAUCCGCCACACUGGGACUGAGACACGGCCCAGACUCCUACGGGAGGCAGCAGUGGGGAAUAUUGGACAAUGGGGGGAACCCUGAUCCAGCCAUGCCGCGUGUGUGAAGAAGGCCUUAUGGUUGUAAAGCACUUUAAGCGAGGAGGAGGCUACUCUAGUUAAUACCUAGGGAUAGUGGACGUUACUCGCAGAAUAAGCACCGGCUAACUCUGUGCCAGCCGCCGCGGUAA
rnacentral:rRNA from 1 species